rnacentral:rRNA from 1 species
UACGAAGGGGGCUAGCGUUGUUCGGAAUUACUGGGCGUAAAGCGCACGUAGGCGGAUACUUAAGUCAGGGGUGAAAUCCCGGGGCUCAACCCCGGAACUGCCUUUGAUACUGGGUAUCUCGAGUCCGGAAGAGGUGAGUGGAACUGCGAGUGUAGAGGUGAAAUUCGUAGAUAUUCGCAAGAACACCAGUGGCGAAGGCGGCUCACUGGCCCGGUACUGACGCUGAGGCACGAAAGCGUGGGGAGCAAACAGG